rnacentral:rRNA from 1 species
UACGGAGGAUCCAAGCGUUAUCCGAAUUUAUUGGGUUUAAAGGGUGCGUAGGCGGAAUAGUAAGUCAGUGGUGAAAGCCUGUUGCUUAACAACAGAACUGCCAUUGAUACUGCUAAUCUUGAGUACAUUUGAUGUGGGCGGAAUGUGUCAUGUAGCGGUGAAAUGCAUAGAUAUGACACAGAACACCGAUUGCGAAGGCAGCUCACAAAACUGUAACUGACGCUGAGGCACGAAAGCGUGGGGAUCGAACAGG